CCUACGGGUGGCAGCAGUGAGGAAUAUUGGUCAAUGGGCGCGAGCCUGAACCAGCCAAGUCGCGUGAAGGAGGACGGCCCUACGGGUUGUAAACCUCUUUUGCCCGGGAGCAACGGGCGCCACGUGUGGCGUCACUGAGAGUACCCGGAGAAAAAGCAUCGGCUAACUCCGUGCCAGCAGCCUCGGUAAUACGUAGGAUGCGAGCGUUAUCCGGAUUUUUUGGGUUUAAUGGGUGCGUAGGCGGAUCUUUAAGGCAGUGGUAAAAGUGAGGGGCUCCACCCCUCCCUGCCAUUGAAACUGGCGUUCUGGAGUGGAAGAGAAGUAUGCGGAAUGCGUGGUGUAGCGGUGAAAUGCAUAGAUAUCACGCAGAACCCCGAUUGCGAAGGCAGCAUGCCGGCUUCCGACGGACGCUGAAGCACGAAAGCGUGGGGAUCGAACAGGAUUAGAUACCCUGGUAGUC
rnacentral:rRNA from 1 species